AACAAUAUUGUUUUAUCUUAGGUUGAGAAGUGGAUGGAAAAAUUGGAGGAAACAGAAACCAAGAAGAGAGUUUCAAUCAAAGGGAUUGUAGCUGCUGUUUCCGUAUUUGUUGGUUAUUUAUGGUUCGAGUACAUUUACAAGCUCGACAAGGUUUCAUAUAACAAGCUCCAUCCCUACACCUCAUGGAUCCCUAUAACGGUUUAUAUAAGUUUGCGGAACUUCACCCAGCAGUUCCGAAAUUUCUCCAUAUGAAUUGUCUAACCCUUAAAAAGGCUCAAACAUCAGGAUCAUUUAUUCUUCUAAUUUUUUUAACGUUAUACUUUUGACAAUUUAUAUGUAGAUGGCUUGGAAAGGUUACUCUUGAAACCUACAUUUCUCAGUUCCACAUCUGGUUGAGGUACUUCCUACUAUAUAAAGUUUCUUCGGAGUAUACCACAUGAUCCAGUGAUGACAGAUUCGAGUUCGACUACAAAAUUUUAGAAGUGUUUUUUUUAUUUUUUAUUUUGUGGUGUACUACUUUUAUAUAUUAGCUUAACUUUUUAGUUAAUAUUUUAGAAAUCUUUUGUAUUGCACUUAAUUACUAAUUACUAAUGUAAUGAUAUUAAUAUUUUGUGAA